CUGAAGAAAGAUGCAUGUAAAAGUUUGUAACAAAUGGUUUUCUGUUUAUAAAUUAAAUGGAAGUCAAUGUCUACAUUUUCCAGUAUCCAAUUAUACAUUUUUCCAAUUUGAUCAAAUAAUCAGAACCUUACUAUAUAAUCAAAAUUGGACCAGGAAUCAAGAAAAAUUUGGGAGAUACACAGCAUAUCUGAUAAAUAAUUGGACCGAAUUUCUGUUAUCGAUGCCAUAAGCCUUGUCUUGUAAGAAUUAAUAUUUUUCAACUAACUCAUGUUUGAGCUUUUAAAAUUUCAAUGAAAUUGGAUGAC
rnacentral:lncRNA from 1 species